UAACAAUAAAUAAGAACGUUAAGACAGAUAACCCACGUUCCAUCGUUUUCAUCAUCGAAACGUUUAAAUAACGUUAUUUGAUAAAUUUUAACAACGUUUAAAAAAUAUAUAUAAAAUACGAGUACAAUAAUUAUUGCUCUUUCUUCCGAGGACUCGUCAAAAGCGUUAACGAAGGAUAGAAAGAUGAACAGUUUCAAGAAAAUAACUUGAAUAAUCCGGAACAAGAUUUAAAACAACACUUGUUGCCCGGUUUUCAAACGGCGAUCGAACACGAUUAUUACGUACGCGGAACGAGCAGCCGAUGAGAAUCAUCGUCGAAUACGGAUCGAAGUCAAGGCGACAAACGUCUGUAACUAACGUAACGCCUUCGUAACUUUUGAUACGGCUAUUAAGCGUGCGCUUGCGCAAUAGGGUCACGUUAUUUAAAGACAAGGAAUGUCGUAUCAUCUAAACACGGUUAUACGUAAGAUACAAACCGUCCGGUUUAACAAUCGGGGACAUUGCACCCUGAGAUAUAUAUCUCGGCCUCUUAAAGAAAAUUCCUCCUUUUUCUUCAUAUUUUUCCUUUCUCCCCCUUUUUCAGAUCAGCGCGUUAUGUGUGUCGCGGCGAGGAAUCGCUUUUAUCGCGGAAAACAGAUACGGCUGGAUCUCGGAUGGAAACGUACACCGAGCGAGUAAAGCGAUACGUUCGAGACGGAUUACGACUUAAAAAAAGAACGAAACCAGGAGAGAAAGAGAGGGAGGAGGAGGAGGAGAGAACGAUCGAGGAGCAGUAAAUGAUUCAUGAAACGAUCGCGUCGCAAUAGAGAGGCGCACGCGUGAAUGCGCGUUGUUACCUCACCGACUCCACGGGCCACAUUCUGUACAACAUUCUGUAGCGUAAGAAACGUAAAUUGGUACCGGUUCGUUCGACGGAGGAAGAGAGAACGGAGAAAAGCGUGCACAGACUGAGGGGGAGGCACGUCACUUCCGGUCCAUUAAGAGCAACACGGGGGUCACUAGUGUUGUGUGCAGGGAGCUAAUUAUAAGAAAGGGAGGCAUACACCGUGGUAAUCGAUAAUUUGUCGGCGUAACCGAGAAGGUGUAAGUAUAAAACUAGAGGAAACGAAGCGAAACGGAACGAGGCGAGGCGAGAAAAAGAAAGACCUGAGGCUUACCUGAUUUGCGUGUGAUAGGCGGGAGCUGUGUGUUCGGUGUGCGUGGUCAGGAGUUCGGCCGGAACGGUGUCCAUGUCGAUCGGUUGAGUCCUCGAUAUCGCGAUAGGCUGCACCUGAAAUACGCCGGGUGUUGUCGGUGAAGGUUGUGGACCUAGCAACGAGACGCGUACCAUUUCCCUACCUUCGCUGUAAAAAAAAAAAUAAA